rnacentral:misc_RNA from 1 species
GUUUGUAGCUUUAGAGUCUAAAUAUUUGUUCUUGUUCAUAACCAAUAACUAGUCACCUAAUAAUGUACUGAAUUCUCCAAAGAUAGUCAGAGUAAAGACUUGUGGAAACAGAUUACACUCAUAGAUGUGUUUGAAAGAAGUUCAGGCUAUGAAACAGAGGGUCAUAAAACAAGCUUUGGUCUACAUGAUUUGCAAAGACAACUUGCCUCUAUCUUGGGUGGAAAAAUCAGGAUUGAAAAAAUUGAUGAGCGUCAUUUGUCCACGCUAUAAGGUUCCAUCACGAACUACAAUAACGGGCUUAAUGGAACAACGAUAUCCCACUACCAAAGCCAUUGUAAAACAAAAACUAAGUGAGAUAAAUAAUAUUGCUUUAACAAGUGAUAUAUUAACUCUCAUGAACUCGACACGAAGUUUCAUCGUAGUAACAGCGCAUUUUCUUAACACAGCAAAUAACUGCACUCCUGAAUCUGAACAUGAGAUGGUGACAUUGACAGCACGAAGAAUGUAUCAGGCACACACUGCUGAUUAUAUAAAAGAAUGCUUUGAAAAUAUUACCGACGAGUUUUCAAUAGAAAAGGGUUGCAUCUUAUCAAUUACCACUGAUGGUGGUGCUAACAUGGUUGCUGCAGUGAAGAAAUUUUUGGAAGACGGAAAAAGAAUUCCUUGCAUCGCACAUUUGUUGAAUUUAAUAGUGGAUGGCGCAACAAGAGAUAAUCCACCAGUUCUUCAAAUUGCCAAUCGUGUCAAAGCCAUUGUAACAUAAUUCAAACAAUCUGUGAACGCAAUGGAUGAUUUGCGAGCAGAACAAGAGGGACAAAAGAAGGAGGGAGAAGUAUUAACACUUAUACAAUCAGUAAGCACAAGGUUGAAUUCUUGUCUUGAUAUGUUGGAAAGAUUCAAUACAUUAUCAGCUAUUAUGGCAAGCUACUGAAGAAAUUAGCGGCGAUCAGUACGUGACUUCAAGUUUGGUGAUUCCCAUUGCAAACUUACUUCAGAAAGGCCUUGAACAAAUAAAACCUUUCACCGCAUUUGGUUUCGCUGUUCAGAAGAGUUUGCUAAAUUUAGUUAUUGCCAAACUAGAACCACUAGAGCGACAUUUACAUUUGGCCAAAGCAACAAUUUUAGACCCACGCCAUAAGCGUAUUCAUUUUAGUUCAGCGCUAGCUAUUUCCACUGCAAUAACCGCACUGUCAAAAGAAAUACGUUUAGAACAUAGACGUAGAGAACAACUUUCGCCUAAACUCUGACCAACUCCCACUACCAUAAUUACAAAUUCAGAAAAUUCUUCGCCGUCGUUGUGGCCCGGAUAUGAAAAAAUUAUGAUAGAUAUUGCUGCAGCUUCAGCAAACUCUUUACUUUCAACUUCAACCAGUGAUGGUGAGCCUAUCGAACUAAAGCAAUAUCUACAUCAGCCUAUAGUACCCAGAAAAGAGAAUCCUACAAAAUUCUGGUUUGAUUGUCGUCAUUUUACCCCAGUCCUUUCCGACAUAGCUCUAAAGUAUUUGAUAUCGCCUGCGUCCUCGGUUUCCUCAGAGAGAGUGGCAUCUGCGGUGAAUCUCGCAGUACCCAAUAACAGAAGUCGGCUUACAGCCGAGCACGUAAAUCAAAGAGUUU